rnacentral:rRNA from 1 species
AGAGUUUGAUCAUGGCUCAGAACGAACGCUGGCGGCAGGCUUAACACAUGCAAGUCGAGCGCGGUCUUUCGGGACUGAGCGGCGGACGGGUGAGUAACGCGUGGGAACGUGCCCUUCUCUCUGGAAUAGCCCUGGGAAACUGGGAGUAAUGCCGGAUACGCCCUUUGGCAGCGAUGUCGGGGGGGAAAGAUUUAUCGGGGAAGGAUCGGCCCGCGUUGGAUUAGGUAGUUGGUGGGGUAAUGGCCUACCAAGCCGACGAUCCAUAGCUGGUUUGAGAGGAUGACCAGCCACACUGGGACUGAGACACGGCCCAGACUCCUACGGGAGGCAGCAGUGGGGAAUCUUGGACAAUGGGGGCAACCCUGAUCCAGCCAUGCCGCGUGAGCGAUGAAGGCCUUAGGGUUGUAAAGCUCUUUCAGCGGGGAAGAUAAUGACGUACCCGCAGAAGAGCC